rnacentral:tRNA from 1 species
GUUCCCAUAGCAUAAUGGAUAGUGCAUUCCCCUCCGGAGGGAAGGAUGCCGGUUCGAUUCCGACUGGGAACG